CGCAUAGAUUUUGGAACAUCAAGUGAGCAGGGUGAUGGGACAUCAACAGAAGAAUAUGACGCUGACUCAAGUGCAUCAACUGUGAUAUUAGAUGCCUCUCCUGCUAGAAGCAGCACACCAGAAAGGGUAACCGCCAAACUGCAGAAUCUUUCUGACAGAAUCGAUGAAAACAGAUCUACAGACCAGGAUAGCCAACAGGCUCAAGCAAGGCACUACAGAACCCUUCAGGAAGUGUACAAGAGACCGAAGCCGAAUAAAGACGCAGUUGCCCAACUGCUCGACUUGGAAUUUGAGGCAAGAAGAGCAUUCAUCGAUUCGGACACACUCAAGGACCAGGACAGGCCUGCCAAGAUCAUUGAAGCGUAUCCAUGCUUUAAAGACCUUAACCAUGUUCUCGGUGAACUUUGCAGGAUUGUCAGCAAAGACAACACUGCUUACAUUAAGGAGGUGAAGGAGCGCUGGGACACCUUUCAGAGCCAAGCGAUCUUUUACGGUAUUAUGAAAAAGGUG